GACAGAGGUGCCGAGCGUUAGGCGGAAUCACUGGGCUUAAAGCGUGUGUAGGCGGACCGUUAAGUACCUUGUGAAAUCCCACGGCUCAACCGUGGAACGGCUGGGUAUACUGGCGGUCUUGGGCCACUCAGGGGCGAGCGGAACAAGUGGUGGAGCGGUGAAAUGCGUAGAUAUCAGGAAGAACACCCGUGGCGAAGGCGGUUCUCUGGGACGGUACUGACGCUGAGACGCGAAAGCGUGGGGAGCGAACAGG
rnacentral:rRNA from 1 species